rnacentral:rRNA from 1 species
UUUUUAUAAUUAUUAUUUAAAAUUUUUUUGAAUAUAUUUAUAUAAAUAAUAAUUAUUUAAUUGGGGUGAUUGAAAAAUUAAAAAAAUUUUUUUAAGAAUUUAAACAAUAAUUUUUGAUUGAAAUAUCUAUUAAUAAUAAAUAUAUAAUAAGU